UACGGGGGGGGGCAAGCGUUGUUCGGAAUUACUGGGCGUAAAGGGUUUGUAGGUGGCCAACUAAGUCAGACGUGAAAUCCCUCAGCUUAACUGGGGAACUGCGUCUGAUACUGGAUGGCUUGAGAUUGGGAGAGGGAUGCGGAAUUCCAGGUGUAGCGGUGAAAUGCGUAGAUAUCUGGAGGAACACCGGUGGCGAAGGCGGCAUCCUGGACCAACACUGACACUGAGGAGCGAAAGCCAGGGGAGCAAACGGG
rnacentral:rRNA from 1 species